UACGUAGGGGGCUAGCGUUGUCCGGAAUCAUUGGGCGUAAAGAGCGUGUAGGCGGUCCGGUAAGUCCGCUGUGAAAGUCGGGGGCUCAACCCUCGAAUGCCGGUGGAUACUGUCGGGCUAGAGUGCGGAAGAGGCGAGUGGAAUUCCUGGUGUAGCGGUGAAAUGCGCAGAUAUCAGGAGGAACACCGAUGGCGAAGGCAGCUCGCUGGGACGGUACUGACGCUGAGGCGACGAAAGCGUGGGGAGCAAACAGG
rnacentral:rRNA from 1 species